ensembl:lincRNA
CCCAAAGUAGAGGGCUCAGUUAAGCCAUACUGGUGGUAAUGAAUGUGAAAAAAGCUAAAAUGAAUGUGUUGUCUGGGCUACAUUACCACUGAGAGCUUGGGGUCCACUUCCAAGCUCAUUUUGUUUUGUCAUAAUUCAAUUUCUUAUGGUAGUUGUCUUGAUUUUCUUGGUGGUUAUCAACUGGGACCCACUGUCAGCCACUAGAGGCCAGUCUGAGGUCCCUGCCCCAUGGCUCCCUUCCAUCUGGCUGUUAUUUUAAGUCUCCAAGUUUUUUGUUAUGCAGCUAUAGAAAAUCAAUACAAUCAAAGUAGAAUAUGGUGAUGGGUGCUGUGCAAGAAGAAGGAGGGAAGAAGGAAGCUGAGUGUGCAGCAAAGACACCUGCAGGGACACACAGAACCAGGCAUUUGCUGAAGGACACCUGGAUUGCACAACCAGUGGCUAACUUGCAUGAAAAAAACAUUCUAGAAUACAGCUCAUGGAAGGUCAGAAUGUAUAAGAAUCUGUUUAUUGGAUACCUUCAAAGUCACUAAGGUACCUUCUUUUGUCCCUAACAAAUGCUAAUGGUAUUGACAUUCAGUUUUCUUAGUGUUAUCUUCUUCCUUAGGCAAUUGGCUGUGUCAUCUCAUUAUAUGCAUGGCUUGAAAGAGGAACCUAGUUCUAAAGCUUGAAGUGGUUUAUUGAUCCUAAAAGAUGAGGUAAUUCACUGUGCAACAUAAUUCAAGCCUUUAAGAUCAACUACGCAUUUCUCACGCAAUAAUCAGGAAGAGAAGUCUCAAAAUUCAAAAUAGCGUUGCUUAAGCAUGCUCACAAUCAUUUAUUCAGAUCAAAAUCCAAUCCUUAAAAUUUACUCUGAAUCACUCUCAUGAUGUACCUCCUUAAAUAACAGUAAGAUUCCUCCAUUUGUAUAACAUUAGUAAUUAUUACUAAUUGUCCUAAUAAUGCUAUCUACAUCUGGUUAAUUCCUAUCAUUGUACCUCCUACAAUGUGAUUAAUGUCAGGAGUGGGGAAUUUUAUGUAUUAAAUUUCUUCUUAAAGGUUACACCCUGGAAAUGUGAGGGAAAGUAUUUGUGGCAAUGGGAUGUCACCCAACUAUAAGGUUAACAAGAAUGACCAAACAAUAAAAGGAAUCAUACGUUUUCGAAAUCACCAAGAGUAAACCAAAUUAUAAUUCUGUUUUAGAAACAUGAGAAUGAAUAUUUAUGGUACAGAUAGGCAGCUCUUAGAUGGAAUAUUGAAUCUUUUUCUUAAAGCUAUUUGGAGGAGAUCAUCAGAAAACGUGUGAUUGCUUUUUCUUUAUAUGAUCUUGGCCCACAAAUAGUCUUUCCACAAAUAUUUUUUGGGAUAGAGACAGUUUUGUGCUUCAGAAGCUAAUAAAAAUAGCUUUUUAAUUUUUUUUUACUACCUGACGGUCACCAUUUUAGGAAAUUUACUAAUAUUAUCUCAUUUUGUUCUUAUAGCAGAUACUAUUUACUAUCCACAUUUUAUUGAUAAGGAAACUGACAAAGAGCUUAAAUAAGUUGCUCAACAUCAUGCAGGUAAGAAGUGGUAGAGCUGGGAUUUGGUUUCCGUGUCUUACUCUAUUCUAAACCAUGCCAUUUAAUACAGAUCAUUAUUUGUAGAUGUGUAUUUUUAAAAAGGCCACUGUUAGCUUGAACAGCCCAUUCACUGUACAUUUUUAAAACAAUAGCUGUACACCAUUAGAGCUGUGCAAUUCUAAUUCAUUAAUUUUACAGAUGAGAAAGUUGAUACUCGUAAGGGUAAGGUAUGUAUCCAAAUGUCCAACAUCAGGCUACCCGUUGGUGUAAAAGGUGGCUUAAAAUCUAGUAUUCUCACUCCUGACUGGGUCCUCUUCCCACUGACCACACUGUCACCAAUAUACCCUCAUCAAGGAAAUCUUUAUUAAGAUAAAGAUUGCAAGUUUGUAGUACUUAUUAAUAAUAUAUAUCUUUUGUAUAAAAAUCAUCUCCAAGCAUAAUGUCACCUAAUGUCUUAUAGCAUAUUUUAUAAUGCAACACACACACACACACACACACACACACACACACACGGGUUUUUUUUUCCCCUGAUUUUUAAUUUUUCUCAGUAGAACAUAAGAAAAAUCCUUCUUAUGUCCUUCAGGAGUGAAGGCAAUAAUCACUCUUGUUCAAAAGGUCAUAUUUAUAUUAUUUUAGAUAUUAUUGCAUCUUUUUUAUAAUGUUAGCAUGUUUCAGUUUUUGAAGCCUUGAAGCCAGUGUGUGUGUGUGCGUGCGUGCGUAUGUUACAUUAUUGGGGAUUGGGGCACAUGGUACAGUGAAAAAUACAGCCACAGAAAUAACUGGCUUGGAAAGCUCCUGUAUCAACCUUUAGGUUAAAACUACCUGGGUAAUGUCCGGGUGCGGUGGCUCACGCCUGUAAUCCCAGCACUUUGGGAGGCCUAGGCGGGUGGAUCACAAAGUCAGGAGAUGGAGACCAUCAUGGCUAACACAGUGAAACCCUGUCUCUACUAAAAAUACAAAAAAUUAGCCGGGCGUGGCGGUGUGUGUUUGUAGCCCCAGCCACUCGGGAGGCUGAGGCAGGAGAGUGGCCUGAACCCGGGAGGCGGAGCUUGCAGUGAGCCAGAUGGCGCCACUGCACUCCAGCCUGGGCGACAGAGCAAGACUCCAUCUCAAAAAAAACAAAAACAAAAACAAACAAACAAAAAAACCUACCUGGGUAAGAAAGGGCCACUUACAUCACAAAGCAUUCUUCAAAGAAAAUGUUAAUACGUAAAAUCCUGAUAUGAGGUGAAUUUUCAUUAAAUUGUUUUAAUUUUUAAUCCAAUUGAAUUCACAAUGAUGGUACUUUAUGGUGCAUAUACAAUACUUAUGUGCCAUCUUUUAUUCAUGCAGUACUAAGAAUUAUGUUCAGGGAGUUAUUUAAAACAAGAGAGAAAAUAGAAGAUUCAGCCUUUUUCCUAUGGGUUAUAAUCUAGUAGAGAGUUAGACAAGACAAAACUAGUGGAACUAGAGAAUGGUUCAAUGCUUUAAGGGAAAAAAUGCAAAAACAAAUUCCUGUAGCAGUUGACAGGAAGGAAUGGCAUUUGCUAAAAUAUAUUAAGUGCUGACAGUGUGCUUGGGUCUUCAAGAGGGUCCACUGAAUCCUGCCCUGAUCCUACCCUGAGCUCAGACUAGAUUCAGAAAUAGAAAAGAGUAGCAGAUGCCUGCCAAAAUAUCAUUGCUUUAAAUGACAAAGACUAAAUUGUGGAAGUUAUCCUAACAUGAGAGGGGUCUUCUACUCUCCUCCAGCUAAAACCCACCUCCCAAGAAGAAAAGCAGAGGAGGUGAGUUGUGCUGUUUGUUCUUCCUAAAUUCACCAAUGAGAUUAAAGCACUCUUUUCUGGUAAAAAAAAGAAAAAAGAGGGAGAGAGAAUAUGAAUUACAUAAAGCAAAAUACUAAUCCUGGUUCUAUAAUAAAAUGGGCAUGGAAAGCCAAAGCAAUUAAAGGGCGUCAUCAGCAGCAGCAUUAUCAUUAACAUCAGCAUCAUCAUCUUGGAAUUCUUAGACAAUAAAGCCUAUUCUAGGGUGGCAUGCAUGACAUGGGCUUUUGUUUAGUUAAAAAAAGAUGUCACACAAUCUUCAGCAUAUAUCCCUUUUCAAGUUCCUGUAUUGGUCAUCCUGGCUCCCCAACAUUUGAUCUCUUGUUUAUUGUUCUGACUGAACACCCUAAGUCCUCCCUCUGAAACAUAAUAUUUUUUUCUAUCUGGGAGACGACACUUAAAAGAAUAAGUCAGUGCCUUACUGUGCUCAUACUAACAGAUGUUAGAAAGUAGCUCAAGCUGGGAGAACGAGCCCCUAACCAGCUGUUUCAUAGCCUGUAAUUACAGCCUUAAUAAAUGAAUCGUUUCCUUCAGCUGGCACUAGUUGGGAUCUACGCAUAGCAGUUUGUGUGUUAGCUGUUCUGGAAGCAUUUCACUGCUUGCUGAUGCUUUAGCACGGAGGUCUGUGAAAUCAGGUAUCUAACAAAAAUCACCCUGAUAGUAUAUAAAGUAUAUGCAAAUUUAGUGACUGGUGGUGGGCUCAUAUGAGAAAGAGAACUUAUCAAGUCCUUGGUAAUAUAAUUGGCUUAACUUAUUAGACUGCAGUUUAGAAUAUAAAAAUCAAACUAUAAAAUUAAUCUGCUGUACAGUGUGCUAAUUAACCAGCUGGGCCAGCUUUGAUAGUCUUAAUUUUACAGAUUUCCUUGAGGACAUUAUCUAGUUUGGUGACUCAGAGCUGUAUCUCCCUCCUGCUAGGACUUAAUAGUAAUGGCUCCUGUUUUUUUUUUUUCCUCAGGAUGUCAGAGACUUCAUCUUUAUUUCUUUUGUUAGAUUAUAUCCUUUUCACAUCGAAAUCGCACUGGGGACAUUGAUAUUAGACAUUGCAUUAUAAAAGGCCAGAUUUUCCUAUGUCUAUCUGCACAGUUUUUUCUCUGGGGUGAUUAAUGGUCAUAUUUCAGAACAAUGAGUCAUAUUUCAGAACAAUCAUCCCAGAGUGAAAUAGAGGAGACAGAAAUAAAAUAGCAACAAGGGGUAGAUUGAAGAUAAGAAUGUGGGCUUGGUGCAAAGACAAAGAUGAAGUGGGAAAUCAAUUAGCUGCAAGCUUCUUCAAAAUAAAGCAAUGUGGGUUGUGAAGAAGGGGAAUGAGCAAUAAAAAUCAGUUCUCUUCCAAGCCUUAAGCUUACAAAGCAAUCCAGCUAGGGAGACAAAUAAAACAAUACAAGCAAAAACAUGUCUUAGAAUAACAUUUUUGAUGAUAAAGAUAAUAUAUGCUUGAUAUGGGGCAUUCAUAAAAUAUAAAGAAAAAAAUUACCUGGAGAUCACCAUUUGUGAAUAUUUCUAUGUAUUUUCUUACAGCCUUUAUUCUUCCCUAAAUUUUCUUUUCUACUCAUCUG